UAUUUCUGGCAUUUGGUUCUAUAUAAUUCUUCUGGGUGUUUUCUUUUUGCCAUUUGCCGCGGCUACCGUUCUGCUGUCUAUAAAACCGCGCAAGAAGGAGAACGAAACCGUGGGUCGAUUCGGCGCUGAUUCGAUGCCAUGGUGAAGCAGAGUCGUAUGAUGGGAGUUGCGCGAAAGAUACCGUCCGAAAAUAAAAGAAUAUGACAACGAUUUCAUCGGUGAAGAAGAGUCUGCGCGAACACAUCUCGUAGCGGAGUGUACCUACUGUGCAUAUAUGCUCUAUUUAUCGAAUCGCAAGUGAAUGCAGACAAGAGCGUAUCUUCGGGGAUUGGGAGAGGUUGGAACAGUGGGUCAAAUCUGACCUAGACAAGCAAGCACAACAACAACAACAACGUGCGUGAAGCUUGCAAGCCAACAACCGGUGCACAGUGUGUGAGUUUGGGAGAAAAAACGGACACAAUUCAGCCGGAGAUCGGACGACUGAUGAAAAAUAUGCUUUUUUAAACAAACAAUUACGAGGAAUGGAGUGGUGCCCAUCUCUUUUCUGUAAAAC